rnacentral:rRNA from 1 species
GUGGGGAAUAUUGGACAAUGGGCGAAAGCCUGAUCCAGCCAUGCCGCGUGAGUGAUGAAGGCCUUAGGGUUGUAAAGCUCUUUCAGUAGGGAAGAUAAUGACGGUACCCACAGAAGAAGCCCCGGCUAACUUCGUGCCAGCAGCCGCGGUAAUACGAAGGGGGCUAGCGUUGUUCGGAUUUACUGGGCGUAAAGCGCACGUAGGCGGAUCGUUAAGUCGAGGGUGAAAUCCUGGAGCUCAACUCCAGAACUGACUUCGAUACUGGCGAUCUUGAGUCCGGAAGAGGUGAGUGGAACUCCUAGUGUAGAGGUGGAAUUCGUAGAUAUUAGGAAGAACACCAGUGGCGAAGGCGGCUCACUGGUCCGGUACUGACGCUGAGGUGCGAAAGCGUGGGGAGCAAACAGGAUUAGAAACCCUUGUAGUCC